UACGUAGGGGGCAAGCGUUAUCCGGAAUGAUUGGGCGUAAAGCGUCCGCAGGUGGCAAUGUAAGUCUGCUGUUAAAGAGUCUAGCUCAACUAGAUACAAGCAGUGGAAACUACAUAGCUAGAGUACGUUCGGGGCAGAGGGAAUUCCUGGUGUAGCGGUGAAAUGCGUAGAGAUCAGGAAGAACACCGGUGGCGAAGGCGCUCUGCUAGGCCGUAACUGACACUGAGGGACGAAAGCUAGGGGAGCGAAUGGG
rnacentral:rRNA from 1 species